CGGAGGGUGCGAGCGUUGUCCGGAAUCACUGGGCGUAAAGGGCGCGUAGGCGGCCUGAUAAGUAGGGGGUGAAAUCCUGCGGCUUAACCGCAGGGCUGCCUUCUAAACUGUCAGGCUUGAGCACAGUAGAGGCAGGUGGAAUUCCCGGUGUAGCGGUGGAAUGCGUAGAGAUCGGGAAGAACGUCAGUGGCGAAGGCGGCCUGCUGGGCUGUUGCUGACGCUGAGGCGCGACAGCGUGGGGAGCAAACAGGAUUAGAUACCCUGGUAGUCCACGCCGUAAACGAUGGGCACUAGGCGUCGGGGGGAGCGACCCUCCCGGUGCCGUCGCUAACGCAGUAAGUGCCCCGCCUGGGGAGUACGGCCGCAAGGCUG
rnacentral:rRNA from 1 species